CAAUAGCGUAUAUUUAAGUUGUUGCAGUUAAAAAGCUCGUAGUUGGAUUUCGGUUAAGAGCGACCGGUCCGCCGUUUGGUGUGCACUGGUUGGUUUUAACUUCCUGUAGAGGACGUGCUCUGGGUUUAACGACCUGGACUCGGAGUCUACGUGGUUACUUUGAAAAAAUUAGAGUGUUCAAAGCGGGCUUACGCUUGAAUAUUUCAGCAUGGAAUAACACUAUAGGACUCCUGUCCUAUUUCGUUGGUCUCGGGACGGGAGUAAUGAUUAGGAGGAACAGUUGGGGGCAUUCGUAUUUCAUUGUCAGAGGUGAAAUUCUUGGAUUUAUGAAAGACGAACUUCUGCGAAAGCAUUUGCCAAGGAUGUUUUCAUUAA
rnacentral:rRNA from 1 species